GAACCGUCCAAACGUUAUUCGGAAUCACUGGGCUUAAAGGGUGCGUAGGCGGCCCGGAAAGUUGGGUGUGAAAUCCCUCGGCUCAACCGAGGAAUGGCGCCCAAAACUGCCGGGCUAGAGGGAGACAGAGGCGAGCGGAACUUGCGGUGGAGCGGUGAUAUGCGUUGAUAUCGCAAGGAACACCAGUAGCGAAGGCGGCUCGCUGGGUCUCUUCUGACGCUCAGGCACGAAAGCCAGGGGAGCGAACGGGGGAUUAGAUACCCCGGUAGUCCUGGCUGUAGACGAUGAGCACUGGGCAGGAGGCUCUUCCAUAGGCUUCCUGCCGCAGCGAAAGUGUUAAGUGCUCCGCCUGGGAGUAUGGUCGCAAGGCUG
rnacentral:rRNA from 1 species